rfam:Acyrthosiphon pisum strain LSR1 Contig40751, whole genome shotgun sequence.
AUAACGGCCCUUGUCAGGGCCACCACAUUUGACAUCUACAAUAUAG